rnacentral:tRNA from 1 species
UAAAAAGAUAAGCUAAAAUAAGCUUUUGGGUUCAUACCCCAAAUAUAAAGUCAUCAACCUUUUCUUUUU